rnacentral:rRNA from 1 species
CCUACGGGUGGCAGCAGUGGGGAAUAUUGCACAAUGGGCGAAAGCCUGAUGCAGCAACGCCGCGUGAAGGAAGAAGGCCUUCGGGUCGUAAACUUCUGUCCUUGGGGAAGAAGAACUGACGGUACCCAAGGAGGAAGCCCCGGCUAACUACGUGCCAGCAGCCGCGGUAAUACGUAGGGGGCAAGCGUUAUCCGGAAUUAUUGGGUUUAAAGGGUGCGCAGGCGGGAGAUCAAGUCAGCGGUAAAAUGUCGGGGCUCAACCCCGGCCGGCCGUUGAAACUGGUUUUCUAGAGUUGGAGAGAAGUAUGCGGAAUUCGUGGUGUAGCGGUGAAAUGCAUAGAUAUCACGAAGAACUCCGAUUGCGAAGGCAGCAUACCGGCUCCAUACUGACGCUGAGGCACGAAAGCGUGGGGAUCGAACAGGAUUAGAUACCCCAGUAGUC